GACGAACGCUGGCGGCGUGCUUAACACAUGCAAGUCGAACGGAAAGGCCCUGCUUUUGUGGGGUGCUCGAGUGGCGAACGGGUGAGUAACACGUGAGUAACCUGCCCUUGACUUUGGGAUAACUUCAGGAAACUGGGGCUAAUACCGGAUAGGAGCUCCUGCUGCAUGGUGGGGGUUGGAAAGUUUCGGCGGUUGGGGAUGGACUCGCGGCUUACCAGCUUGUUGGUGGGGUAGUGGUUUACCAAGGCUUUGACGGGUAGCCGGCCUGAGAGGGUGACCGGCCACAUUGGGACUGAGAUACGGCCCAGACUCCUACGGGAGGCAGCAGUGGGGAAUAUUGCACAAUGGGUGGAAGCCUGAUGCAGCAACGCCGCGUGCGGGAUGACGGCCUUCGGGUUGUAAACCGCUUUCGCCUGUGACGAAGCGUGAGUGACGGUAAUGGGUAAAGAAGCACCGGCUAACUACGUG
rnacentral:rRNA from 1 species